rnacentral:rRNA from 1 species
GACGAACGCUGGCGGCGUGCCUAACACAUGCAAGUCGAACGGAAAGGCCCUGCUUUUGCGUGGUGCUCGAGUGGCGAACGGGUGAGUAACACGUGAGUAACCUGCCCUUGACGUUGUGAUAUCUUCAGGAAACUGGGGCUAAUGCCGGAGAGGAGCUCCUGCUGCAUGGGGGUCGUUGGAAAGUUUCGGCGGUUGUGGAUCUACUCGCGGCUUAUGAGCUUGUUGGUUGAGUAGUGGCUUACCAAGGCUUUGACGGGUAGCCGGCCUGAGAGGUUGACCGGGGACAUUGGGACUACGAGACGGACCAGACGCGUAUGGUAGGCAAAGGUGGGAAGUCUUACACAAUGGGGGGGAGCCUGUUGCAGCGGCGCCGCGAGCGGAAAGACGGCCUACGGGUGAUGAACCGCUUUCGCCUGUGACGAAGCGUGAGUGACGGUAAUGGGUAAAGAAGCACCGGCUAACUACGUG